rnacentral:lncRNA from 1 species
CCCCUGUGGACAUUGUCAAGGAAAGAGUAGAGUCACAUCACCUAGCUACUGGGUUCAGUGAUAUGUCAUAAUCCCUUCUGUGGGCUGGGCCCACAUAAGGAGAGUCAAAUCACUUGGGUGCUGGGAAGAGGCACAUGUCACACGUGCAAGAAGGUCCAAGGAUGAGAUUAAAAAUUCCACAAAGGUCCAAAUUCUAGAAUCACAGUCUCACAGGUGUGCUAGAUUUUGAUCUGAGAGACAGCAGUCAACCUGUGGACCAGAUCCACUCAUGAGAGUCAAUUUUCCAACUUUUGACUGUCUCCAGGGCCCAGACAGAAGAGAAGAGUCACAUCAUCUAGAUGAUGAAUGAAAAGAUAUGUCAUUAUUCUCCUUUGGGCAGUGCUUCUGCAGAAAAGUUGCACCUUCUAGGUGUUGGACUCAGCAAUAUAUCACAAUGUCUGCAGUAUUUUGGAAGGAGAGGAGAGUCACCAUUACUUAGGUGCUAGGCCCAGCAAUACAUCUCAAGCACUUCUUGGGCAAAGCCCAAGCAGUAAAAAAGAGUCACAUUACCUAGGUUCUGGGUAUAGCAAUAUGUCACAAAUGCCCCUAAGAAGAGGGCCCAGGAAAAGAGAGUCACCUUGGUAUGGCCCAGGCAGGAGAGAAGGGUCAUAUCACCUAAGCUCUGGAUUCGCAGAUAGGCCCCAAUCUCUUUUUUGGGCAAUGCUCGGUCUAUCUUCAAUUUACAGACCUUGGCUUUUCUACCCCAAUUCAAGAAGUCACUUCUUCAGUCAACCAAACCAAUUACAAAAUUGUGUUCCAAUGUCACAUGUUCAAAAAUAAACAGUUCCUGAAAAGAUGUAAGCUUUAAAUGGAAUUAGUCAGCAUUUUCAAUUUUGGUUAGUGCCUUUAAAGCUAGUUUAUCUCUGUUUCUAUAUUAAUCGGAAUGAAAAGAAACAUUUUUGACUUGGCAUUGAAUGACAGUUGUGAUUUUAGUAAAUUUCUUGCUCACACAUAGGAGCAACA